UACGAGGGGUCCUAGCGUUGUUCGGAAUCAUUGGGCGUAAAGGGUGCGUAGGUGGCCAUUCAAGUCAGUUGUGAAAGCCCCGAGCUUAACUUGGGAAUUGCGCUUGUGACUGGCGUGCUGGAGUGUGGCAGAGGGAGGUGGAAUUCCACGUGUAGCAGUGAAAUGCGUAGAGAUGUGGAGGAACACCGAUGGCGAAGGCAGCCUCCUGGGCCAGCACUGACGCUCAUGCACGAAAGCGUGGGGAGCAAACAGG
rnacentral:rRNA from 1 species